UACGUAGGGACCGAGCGUUGUCCGGAAUCAUUGGGCGUAAAGAGCGUGUAGGCGGCCACUUAAGUCCUGCGUGAAAUCCUGCGGCUCAACCGCAGGCGGUCGUGGGAAACUGGGUGGCUAGAGUGCGGGAGAGGAGAGUGGAAUUCCUGGUGUAGCGGUGGAAUGCGCAGAUAUCAGGAAGAACACCCGUGGCGAAGGCGGCUCACUGGUCCGGUACUGACGCUGAGGUGCGAAAGCGUGGGGAGCAAACAGG
rnacentral:rRNA from 1 species